CGGGAUGUGGCGCAGCCUGGUAGCGCACAAGUCUGGGGGACUUGGGGUCGCUGGUUCAAAUCCAGUCAUCCCGACCA
rnacentral:tRNA from 1 species